UACAGAGGGGGCAAGCGUUGUUCGGAAUUACUGGGCGUAAAGGGCGCGUAGGCGGCCUUCUAAGUCGAACGUGAAAUCCCCGGGCUCAACCCGGGAACUGCGUCCGAGACUGGAAGGCUCGAAUCCGGGAGAGGGAUGUGGAAUUCCAGGUGUAGCGGUGAGAUGCGUAGAUAUCUGGAGGAACAUCGGUGGCGAAGGCGGCAUCCUGGACCGGUAUUGACGCUGAGGCGCGAAAGCCAGGGGAGCAAACGGG
rnacentral:rRNA from 1 species